rnacentral:rRNA from 1 species
GGUGAAAAGCACCCCGGAAGGGGAGUGAAAUAGAACCUGAAACCGUGUGCUUACAAGUAGUCAGAGCCCGUUAAUGGGUGAUGGCGUGCCUUUUGUAGAAUGAACCGGCGAGUUACGAUUUGAUGCAAGGUUAAGCAGUAAAUGUGGAGCCGUAGCGAAAGCGAGUCUGAAUAGGGCGUUUAGUAUUUGGUCGUAGACCCGAAACCAGGUGAUCUACCCUUGGUCAGGUUGAAGUUCAGGUAACACUGAAUGGAGGACCGAACCGACUUACGUUGAAAAGUGAGCGGAUGAACUGAGGGUAGCGGAGAAAUUCCAAUCGAACCUGGAGAUAGCUGGUUCUCUCCGAAAUAGCUUUAGGGCUAGCCUCAAGUGAUGAUUAUUGGAGGUAGAGCACUGUUUGGACGAGGGGCCCCUCUCGGGUUACCGAAUUCAGACAAACUCCGAAUGCCAAUUAAUUUAACUUGGGAGUCAGAACAUGGGUGAUAAGGUCCGUGUUCGAAAGGGAAACAGCCCAGACCACCAGCUAAGGUCCCAAAAUAUAUGUUAAGUGGAAAAGGAUGUGGCGUUGCCCAGACAACUAGGAUGUUGGCU